rnacentral:rRNA from 1 species
GAUGAACGCUAGCGAUAGGCCUAACACAUGCAAGUCGAGGGGCAUCACAUGAGGUAGCAAUACUUCUGGUGGCGACCGGCGCACGGGUGAGUAACACGUAUGCAACCUGCCUUCAACAAGGGCAUAACCCGUUGAAAGACGGACUAAUUCCCUAUGACACAGGGGUCCCGCAUGGGGAUAUUUGUUAAAGAUAUUAUCGGUUGAAGAUGGGCAUGCGUUCCAUUAGCUUGUUGGCGGGGUAACGGCCCACCAAGGCAACGAUGGAUAGGGGAACUGAGAGGUUUAUCCCCCACACUGGUACUGAGACACGGACCAGACUCCUACGGGAGGCAGCAGUGAGGAAUAUUGGUCAAUGGACGCAAGUCUGAACCAGCCACGUCGCGCGAAGGAAGACGGCCCUACGGGUUGUAAACUUCUUUUAUACGGGAAUAAAGUGCCCCACGCGUGGGGUUUUGCAAGUACCGUACGAAUAAGGAUCGGCUAACUCCGUGCCAGCAGCCGCGGUAAUACGGAGGAUCCGAGCGUUAUCCGGAUUUAUUGGGUUUAAAGGGUGCUCAGGCGGGGGAUUAAGUCGGCGGUGAAAUUUUGCAGCUCAACUGUAAAAGUGCCUUCGAAACUGGUUUCCUUGAGUGCGGAUGAGGUAGGCGGAAUUUGUGGUGUAGCGGUGAAAUGCAUAGGUAUCACGAGGAACUCCGAUUGCGCAGGCAGCUUACCAAGCCGUAACUGACGCUCAAGCACGAAGGCGUGGGGAUCAAACAGGAUUAGAUACCCUGGUAGUCCACGCAGUAAACGAUGAUUACUGGCUGUUUGCGAUAUAAUGUAAGCGGCUGAGCGAAAGCGUUAAGUAAUCCACCUGGGGAGUACGUUCGCAAGAAUGAAACUCAAAGGAAUUGACGGGGGCCCGCACAAGCGGAGGAACAUGUGGUUUAAUUCGAUGAUACGCGAGGAACCUUACCCGGGCUUGAAAUGCAUCUGGCGUCCCGAGAGAUCGGGA